rnacentral:rRNA from 1 species
GUGGGGAAUCUUCCACAAUGGACGAAAGUCUGAUGGAGCAACGCCGCGUGAGUGAAGAAGGGUUUCGGCUCGUAAAGCUCUGUUGUCGGGGACGAAUGUGCAGUAUUUGAAUAAAGUACUGUAAUGACGGUACCUGACGAGGAAGCCACGGCUAACUACGUGCCAGCAGCCGCGGUAAUACGUAGGUGGCAAGCGUUGUCCGGAAUUAUUGGGCGUAAAGGGAGCGCAGGCGGGAAGGGAAGUCGGUCUUAAAAGUGCGGGGCUCAACCCCGUGAUGGGAUCGAAACUAUCUUUCUUGAGUGCAGGAGAGGAAAGUGGAAUUCCUAGUGUAGCGGUGAAAUGCGUAGAUAUUAGGAGGAACACCAGUGGCGAAGGCGACUUUCUGGACUGUAACUGACGCUGAGGCUCGAAAGCCAGGGGAGCGAACGGGAUUAGAAACCCUUGUAGUCC